UUAAGGUAAGCAUAUGUCUUUUUUUGGCAGAUUACAUCUCCUUAGAGUCUUUUGCAGAUGGUAAUGUAAUGUGAUUGCAUUCUUGAAAGUGCGAUGUGAACAACAUUGCUGGAUACAGUUUCUGCUUCACUUGUUUGAAGAUAAGCAAAAAACAAAGCCUGAGGUUGGAAUGCUCAAUAGUAUGGAAGAAAAGGAGUAGCAGGGUGCCUGGAGGUGGGCAGAAGUGGGCACAGGCCAAGCCAGUCUUGGUGCAGACCCUGAAUUUUGUUUUGCAAGAAACAUCUGAGCCAAGUAAUGGUCUCCUGUGAGGUUUGUUUCCUGGAGGAGUCCAGAAAGAAGCUGUUCUCUGCUGAACCAUGGGUCAAGGAAAAUGUUGACAGAACUAUCAACUCUCAAUUUCCUAAACUUGGCAGGGUUCAAACUUCCAAGACAAAGCUGAUAGUGUCAAGGUAAACAUGAAGGUUUUUAAUAUGGAUACCAAUCUCUAGGAAGGGCAUUAGGAAAUCCCUCAGUUAUCACGGUGAAACCACCAUCACCACUCAGCUAAGGUGCAAGUAGCAAUCAAGUCAUUCCUGAUUAUCUCAACCAGCAAUCAAGACUUUCCCCUGGGAUUGGUCUGACCUCGGAAGACAAUGAGGCAAGUCCCAACAAGGAGGAGCCAUCUGCUCGGACGGCAGGGUAGAGAAUAUGACAUAGACUGGUGCACAAAAGCCAUUUAAGCAGAACACUAGGGAGAGACCUUGAGGUGACUUCCACAGCCCAGUUGCUGUUUCUUUUUUGAGAAAGUGAGCAAUGGCCCGAAGCUAGAAAUGCAAAAUGCAUCCCUCAAUAUAAGUAUUCAUCACACACCUAAAUCUUACAUUUUAUAGUUGUCAGACAUUUUAGCUUUCACAAAGUCUGAGUUUAGAUUUUGAAAGGUUUUUCACAACUUUGAAGUGCAUUUAGUAAAUGUAUAGUCUAAUUUUAUCCAAACUAUUAGCUCCAUACCUACAGAUGGCUUUGAAUGUACCAAAAGAAUUUAUUUUGCUAGAUAUGAGAAGUGGCUGGUUCCUCUGACAUGGCAACCCUGUAGUUGUCACCUCUUGGGGAGUUUCACAGUGAAGUUAGUUGUUGUUAAAAGGAACAUCAGAAUUCAGCUGGAGUCUUGGAAGAAAAUCAAGUUUUGUCUGUUUGUACAAAGAUAAAAGUCAGUGUCAGAUUUCUGAGCUCUUUAGAUUAGAAAGAUGUUUGGACUUGAAAAAUAAAGACCCAAGAGAAGGAGGUGUUCAUAUUAGAGCUGCUAUGCUGUCAUGAGAGGAUCUCUUAGAUCUCUUAUAGCAGGGUCAUUGGGGAGGAAAGAAGAUUAUCAAUGUGACUGUCAUACUGAAGGCAAUUUUUAUCAAGGUCCAAAAGUAAAUUUUCAAUAAAUAAUCUGAUUCUUGCUAAAUGACUCA